UUUCCGACUGGAUCUUCAAGCGAAGCCAAAUCAGGAUCCCAGAGAACAGCAAGGGCAGCAAGAGCUCCAAGACUGUCACCAGGACCUUCCGUUUCUAGAGACACAGAAACGGCAGGGCCUCUGGAUCCAGCCGGGCUUCUGGGAUCAUCGCCCUUUUAUAGACAAGAAAUCAGGCCUAGCCCAGGAUCACACAGCAGGACAAGCUGCAGAGGCACAUGGGAACCUGCAGUCCAUGUUUUUAACCCCUUCAUCCCUGUCUAUCCUAAAGGCAUAAAAAGGAAUUUAAAGGAGAUUCCCGGAAUUACAAGAUCUGGGAAGCUUCCUGGUUACGAAAGCAAAUGUACACGAGGAAAGGAAGUUAAGGUUCCUUGAAACACUCGACGCUCUGGCACCAAGAGUCCCCGCAAGUGGCAGUGGCUGGCGUCUGAACCAGCCCCACGUCCUCCUCCGAGGCAAACACUCGGCAGGGCUACUCGGGAAGCCACCACCUCCGCCCACAAGAGCAUCUGAGAGCUUCCCCUACACGGCUCACUUCACUCCUCUGGGGUUGGGGCCAGGAAGGCAAAGGAAAGCUUUUUCCCAACUAAAAGGCUAUUUGCUAACUGUUAAAAUAUUAAAGGUUACACAAUUGUUGAGUAUUUCAAUGUUUGCUCUUUAGGCGAGCAACUGAAUUGGCCCAGAGUGAGUGCACACUGUGGGCUGCUAAUUUCUGAGAACUCUCUUGAUAUGGCACCCUAGAUUCCUCUAAAAACAGUUUUCCCAGUAACUUUGGUUAGUUUAAGAGCCACGGGUUGUGCCAAUUCACCAGCAUCCACUGCCCAGGGGCGCUUGGUGCUUGCCAAGGGUCUGGACACCGCUUCCUUACUUGUGGUUCUUCUCAUUAUGAGUUUGACUGUGUCUUUCAAUUCCUAUUGCCCAUGCAGAAGUUGCUCUUAUUUCUGCAUAUGUGGAACAGAGAGGCAUUAACGCUUCCAGAUUAACGCUGAGCAGGCUGCAAGACCAGUGAGCG